rnacentral:rRNA from 1 species
GAUGAACGCUGGCGGCGUGCCUAAUACAUGCAAGUCGAGCGAACGGACGAGAAGCUUGCUUCUCUGAUGUUAGCGGCGGACGGGUGAGUAACACGUGGAUAACCUACCUAUAAGACUGGGAUAACUUCGGGAAACCGGAGCUAAUACCGGAUAAUAUUUUGUACCGCAUGGUUCAAAAGUGAAAGACGGUCUUGCUGUCACUUAUAGAUGGAUCCGCGCUGCAUUAGCUAGUUGGUAAGGUAACGGCUUACCAAGGCAACGAUGCAUAGCCGACCUGAGAGGGUGAUCGGCCACACUGGAACUGAGACACGGUCCAGACUCCUACGGGAGGCAGCAGUAGGGAAUCUUCCGCAAUGGGCGAAAGCCUGACGGAGCAACGCCGCGUGAGUGAUGAAGGUCUUCGGAUCGUAAAACUCUGUUAUUAGGGAAGAACAAAUGUGUAAGUAACUAUGCACGUCUUGACGGUACCUAAUCAGAAAGCCACGGCUAACUACGUG